CAUUAUUUCAAGUGAAAAUUUUAGAUAUAUUUUUAUCCAUAUAUAAAUUUGAAUUAUGACUAUUGUGAGGGAAAAGAAUGCAGGUCAGAUGCCGUGUUUCUCUCUUCACUUCCAAAUUUCAGUUUUUUUUAGUAUUGUUGUUAUCAUUAUUUUUUUUUACUUUAUUAUUAGAGGGGAGAACAGAGAAAGGAAUUUGGAGGAGAAAAAGAGAGAGAGACAUUGCAAGGUGACAUGCGAUAAUAUGAAGCCCAGCCUGUGGACUCUUGUCCCCAAUUGAAUUAAAUCAAACCAAAGUAUAAACACAGGUAUCAUAUGAAG
rnacentral:lncRNA from 1 species